GGGAUUAGCUCAGUCGGUAGAGCGCAUGACUGCAGAGCGGGAGGUCGGGGGUUCGUUUCCA
rnacentral:tRNA from 1 species